rnacentral:snoRNA from 1 species
GGGUACCUCGUGCUUACCACAGGCUAUGCUCUUACGCUGACUGUAUAGAAAGAGGAGACAAAGUAAACCUACCCCAGGUACACCUCAGCCCAGGCCCUGUGCCUGGUCUGUAUUAUGAAUGAGGAGACAUGG